UACAGAGGUGGCAAGCGUUGUUCGGAAUUCCUGGGCGUAAAGGGCGCGUAGGCGGCCUACUAAGUCAGACGUGAAAUCCCCCGGCUUAACCUGGGAACUGCGUCUGGUACUGGAAGGCUCGAGUAUGGGAGAGGGAUGUAGAAUUCCAGGCGUAGCGGUGAAAUGCGUAGAUAUCUGGAGGAAUACCGGUGGCGAAGGCGGCAUCCUGGACCAGUACUGACGCUGAGGCGCGAAAGCUAGGGGAGCAAACGGG
rnacentral:rRNA from 1 species